rnacentral:lncRNA from 1 species
AGGUUUAAAUCUGAGUCAGCAGGCUGUGUUUGAGAGAGAAGCAGAGAAGUAAGAGAGAAUUACAGAAGAGGAAAGAGAGACAGAAAUGAGAGAAUUUCGUGUUUCAGGCUCAAUAGAGUUCUCACCUUCCAUUUCUCUUCCUUCCAGAAAUGAUAACCUGACUCUAGAUUGUCCCCUUGGGAUAUUUUCCCGAGAAGGAAAAGCUGCAAGAAUGUUUAAUAUGCUUACACAGUUCUCCAAAGUGAUCUAAAAUAGUCACUUCCAUAAUUAUUUUCUUGCAUUAUUUUAUUGGAAUAGUUACAAUAUUAUAUAAGUUGCAGGUGGACUAUCUAGCGAUGAGCAAUUUUAAAGGUUAUGUUCUGGGGGUUCCCAUUGUGGCUCAGUGGGAACGAAUCUGACUAGCAUCCAUGAGGAGGCAGGUUCGAUCCCUGGCCUCGCUCAGUGUGUUAAGGAUCCAGCAUUGCCAUGAGCUGUGGUGUAGGUCACAGAUGCAGCUCCGAAUCCGCGUAGCUGUGGCUGUGGCGUAGGCUGGAAGCUGCAGCUCCGUUUUGAGUCCUGGGAACUUCCAAUAUGCUGCAGGUGUGGCCCUAAAAAGACAAAAUAAAUAAAUAGAAAAAGGUUGUAUUUUAUUUAUAGUUGUAAAAUAUUGGCUGUAUUCCUUGGGUCGUACAAUAUAUCCUUAUAGUUUAUUUUACAUAUAAUGGUUUAUAUCUCUUAAUCCCUGUCCCCUCUCUUGCCCCUCCCCCCUCCCCUUGCCCACUGGUAACUGCUCGUUCUCUAUAUUUAUAAGUAUGCUUCUUUUUAUAAUCACUGAUUUGUUGUAUUUUAGAUUCUACAUCUAAGUGGUGUCAUAUCACUUGCCUUUCUCUGUCUGACUUAAUUCACUCAGCAUAAUGGCCUCCACGUCCAUCCACGUUGCUGCAAAUGGCAAAAUUUCAUUCUUUUUUACAGCUGAGUAAUAUUCCAUUGUGUAUAUGUACCACAUCUUCUUUAUGCAUCCGUCUGUUGAUGGGCAUUUAUAGUGCCUCCAUGUCUUGGCUACUGUAAAUAAUGCUACGGUGAACAUUGGGGUGCAGGUAUCUUUUCACAUCAGUGGGGUUUUUUUUCAGGUGUAUACGCAGGAGUGGAAUUGCUCAGCCAUGUAAUAGUUCUGAGUUUUUCGAGGACGCUCCCUACUGUUCUCUCCAGUGGCUGCACCAGUUUACAUUCCCAUCAACAGCGUAGGAGGCUCCCUUUUCUAAUAAGCACUUGCUUUAAAUGGAGAUUUGUUUUUGGAACUUAGCUGCUCAUGGCCAAUAGUAUGAAACCUUUUAUUACCAUAGCUGUAUUCCAGACUCCAAUUAACAGGUGGAGAAUAGGGGACUUUGGUCUGUCCAACCAAGAAUCACAGUGGGACCAGCUUUACCGAACUGUCCUUAAGAGAGCCUGACUUUAUUGCCUCCAAAAGUUGAUUUUAACCUUGAGUGCGUGCGUCACAAAUGCUCACGUUUUGGGAAAGUGGAGCGUAGGUAUGAGCGUCUUUUCUGGCACCAGCGAGGGUUGGGAACAGAACAGCCUUCCUGGUGGCGGGGGUUUUUAAGCACAUUUAUUCCCCCUUCAAAACCUGCGACUGUCUCGGAAGGGACCCGCGGGUAUGUGCGCAAAAGAGCAGAUGGUGCGUGAAGGAGAGAGACUAUGCGGCAGCAGAAAAUGAAUUCGCUUAUUAAGAAAUCGGCUGCUUGAGACACCAUGGCAGGUGUCCAUGGAACGUGCUCGGGUGUGAUUCCAGGAGGAGAGGGGCUUUCCCAGCUGCCUGCUCUGAAGUCAGGACUUGUCUUUGUCGCCACGAUUUACAGCCUUUUUACGAACGCCUCCUCCGUGCGUCUGGGGUUCUAGCUUCGGUCCCCCGUCCAGGCCCCUCCUCCGAGGCCCUGCUUCCCAGCCUGCUCGCCAUUUCGCUCUGACCCACGGAGGCCCGGAGCAGGAAGCGUGGAGCUGGCGGCUCCUCUGCUCCAGGCCCCGCUGCGCUGGGAGGGGGACCUGGGGACGAGGAGGAGUCUGGUUCAGAGGAGACCACAGCAGGGAAAUGCUGUGUGGAGGUGGAGGGAGUGUGUGAAUACAGAGUGUGGCCCAGUGUAGGACAUCAGGGAGCGGUGGGGACUGUGGCAAGCAGGUGGCAGCGCACAUGAGCAGGACAACUUUUGUGUGCAAACAUCUGGUUUUUAAAACCCUUCCGACGAAGCCAAACACGCUGGAGGCGGGACUCGGUCCCUGGCCGUCCAGCUUGCACGUGACAGUGAAACACGGGAGGGCAAGAGGCUGGAGGGGAGGCGACGGGCCAGGACACCCCUGUCCCCUCCCCUUUCCUGGGCCAGGAGUUAGGAUGUUAAUAUUAAAAUGCUCACAGAGAACAAAAAGCAGAUACAAACAGCUUAAGCUCCUAGGCAGCCUAAGAACACGAUGCCGAAGCCUCCAGUGUCGACUGAAUCCUCGUCUGGGGCUGGCGGGCUGUGUGGACCCGGGGGAGUCACAUCCCCUCAGCAUCUGCGGAGUGGAGAGAAUUGUCGUCACCACGUACGGCUGUCGUGAGCAUCCAGUAAAUUCACACAGCCGCUGGAAGUGCGUCUGGCACUGUUGAAGUGCUGGCUGUUGUUAGAGUUACGGAGGCAGAUGGUUCCAGAAAAAGCAGAGAUGCGCUGGCGGCCCGGGAUGCCCCGAUUCAGUCCUUUCCAUUGGCCGCUUCAUGGCGUGGUUGUGAGCUCCCUCCCCUUCCAUAUCCCCAUCCCCAUCCUUGGCUGUGCCGUCUUCCCAGAUCUGGACUGAAACACUGAAGCGGCUAGGUGCAUAUGACCCACCUGGAGAUCUGCUGAAAUGCAGAUUCAGAUUCUGUGGAUCUGGGCAACCGGGCAGGACCAGGGAUUCUGCCUCCUUGGCAUCCUCUUCCUAGCAAAGUGUUUUUGUUGGUUGGUUUGCUUUGGUUGGUUUUUUUUUUUUUGCUUUCCAAGGCUACAUCCCUGGCAUGUGGAGGUUCCCAGGCUAGGGGUCUAAUCGGAGCUACAGCUGCUGGCCUACGCCACAGCCACGGCAUCGUCAGGUCCAAGGCGCAUCUGUGACCUACACCACAGCUACAGCAAUGCCGGAUCCUUAACCCACUGAGUGAGGCCAGGAAUCGAACCCACAUCCUCAUGGAUACUAGUUGGGUUCAUACCUGCUGAGCCACGAUGGAAACUCCCAAACAAAGCUUUGCCUUUUAGUUUUAAGCCUCCUUGAGGCUCUGAGAGGCGGCCAGUGUGCAGGGGCCUCCCGCCCUCUGCAUGCUCUCCUGCAGGGAGGUGGGGAGGUGCCCGCACCCAGAGAAGCCCAGCUCUGCCCAUCACUCCUCCGCCUCCGCGCCCGCCGUGACUCAGGCCCACAGCGCCGUCAUGGGAGAGUCUCAGGUGGGGAGACUUUCAGAGCCGUCGUCCAAUCGCAGAACCCUGUGAACUGAGAAUAAACAGCACAAAGGGAGCCUUAUGCCCCAGACCUGUGCCUGCAACUCCCACCAGCCUGGCUCUGUCACAGCCCUGUGUGCGGUGCGGCCUCAGCGAAUGUGUGGGGAGGUGUGACAGCAUCUCCUGCUUGUGUGGGUACUUUAGACACAGGCCAAGAUGCCCAAGCCACAGAUAUCCCCUGAAUUUGUGAAGAUGUCCCAGUUUUCUGCGCUCAAACUACCCCUCCCCAAUCCAGAAACGUGGAACCAUCAGGCCACUCUGUGUUGCUACCAACUAACCCACGUGCAAGCGACCCCAGCACAGCGGAGCAGAGAGUGUUG